AUCCACCUGACAUCCAGGACCGGGGACACAGACGGCCCACUCCACCCUUCCUGUCCUUGAGCAGAAUAAACAGAUGUCCUUGAUGCCAGCUCCCCUCCCUCCACGUACACAGCCACACAGCCUGGGCCAGUCCACCAGGCCCAGCAGAAGUGACAGAAUCUCCUCUGGCUUUUUCCAAGCACGGUUGUCCACUCUACCCUAGGAUUCGCCUACUUGGAAGCACAGUACUACACAGGUGGUGCUGUCUGAAUGCUGUUUUCCGGCCUGGAUGGCAUUUCCAUCAUGGAGUCGGUUGUGCUAAGGUCUGGGGCUGCUGCUACACCACGGACAUUUCCCAUUCUGCACACUUAUGUGCUGGGAACAUCUUCCCC